rnacentral:rRNA from 1 species
UGGGGAAUAUUGCACAAUGGAGGGAACUCUGAUGCAGCGACGCCGCGUGAGUGAUGAAGGAAUUCGUUUCGUAAAACUCUGUUCUAUGGGAAGAAAAGGACUGUACCAUAGGAGAAAGCUCCGGCUAAAUACGUGCCAGCAGCCGCGGUAAUACGUAUGGAGCGAGCGUUGUCCGGAAUUAUUGGGCGUAAAGGGUGCGCAGGCGGCUUUACAAGUUGGAUGUGAAAUAUUGUGGCUCAACCACAAACGUGCAUCCAAAACUGCAAAGCUUGAGUUAAGGAGAGGUAAGUGGAAUUCCCGGUGUAGCGGUGGAAUGCGAAGAUAUCAGGAGGAAUACCGGUGGAGAAGGCGACUUACUGGACUUAAACUGACGCUCAGGCACGAAAGCGUGGGGAGCAAACAGG